UACGGGGGGGGGCAAGCGUUUGUUCGGAAUUACUGGGCGUAAAGGGCUCGUAGGCGGCCAACUAAGUCAGACGUGAAAUCCCUCGGCUUAACCGGGGAACUGCGUCUGAUACUGGAUGGCUAGAGAUUGGGAGAGGGAUGCGGAAUUCCAGGUGUAGCGGUGAAAUGCGUAGAUAUCUGGAGGAACACCGGUGGCGAAGGCGGCAUCCUGGACCAACACUGACGCUGAGGAGCGAAAGCCAGGGGAGCAAACGGG
rnacentral:rRNA from 1 species